GUGGAUUCAUGACCACAUGAGACAAGGCCUCUGAGCUAGUGAUAGGUGGAUUCAUGACCGUAUCAGACAAGGCCUCUGAGCUAGUGAUAGGUGGAUUCAUGACCACAUGAGACAAGGCCUCUGAGCUAGUGAUAGGUGGAUUCAUGACCACAUGAGACAAGGCCUCUGAGCUAGUGAUAGGUGGAUUCAUGACCACAUGAGACAAGGCCUCUGAGCUAGUGAUAGGUGGAUUCAUGACCGUAUCAGACAAGGCCUCUGAGCUAGACAGCGCUGUGUGAGAAGUUCUGAGAACCAUGUGAAGUUGGAAUAUACUGUUUGGCACUAAGCCUGGCCAACACUCUUCUGUCCCAGCCUGACCUUUAACCUCUAGAUCAGGGGUAGUCAACUCUGACCCGACGAGAGCCUGCUGUUUUUCUGUUCUACCUGAUAACUAGUCAGUCAGCCAGCCAGUCAGCCAGCCAGUCAGUCACCAGAACCAGCGAGUCAGUCACCAGAACCAGCCAGCCAAUCAGCCAGCCGGCCAGCCAGUCAGUUACCAGAACCAGCCAGUCAGUCACCAGAACCAGCCAGCCAAUCAGCCAGCCGGCCAGCCAGUCAGUCACCAGAACCAGCCAGUCAGUCACCAGAACCAGCCAGCCAAUCAGCCAGCCGGCCAGCCAGUCAGUUACCAGAACCUGCCAGCCAGUCAGUCACCAGAACCAGCCAGCCAAUCAGCCAGUCAGUCACCAGAACCAGCCAGCCAAUCAGCCAGUCAGUCACCAGAACCAGCCAGUCAAUCAGCCUGCCAGUCAGUCACCAGAACCAGCCAGUCAAUCAGCCAGUCGGCCAGCCAACUAAUCAGUCCAUUGGUCCAGUCAAAUCAGCUUUAAAGC
ensembl:lncRNA